UACGUAGGGGGCAAGCGUUGUCCGGAAUCAUUGGGCGUAAAGAGCGUGUAGGCGGCCCGAUAAGUCCGCCGUGAAAGUCCAGGGCUCAACCCUGGAAUGCCGGUGGAAACUGUCGGGCUGGAGUCCGGAAGAGGCGAGUGGAAUUCCUGGUGUAGCGGUGAAAUGCGCAGAUAUCAGGAGGAACACCAAUGGCGAAGGCAGCUCGCUGGGACGUAACUGACGCUGAGACGCGAAAGCGUGGGGAGCAAACAGG
rnacentral:rRNA from 1 species